rnacentral:lncRNA from 1 species
GUAUGUAUGUUGUUGAGUGUUAAAUCCCGUCCAAAGGAUUGGCAAGUUGCUGCUUGGAAACUUGGUAGAUACAAACGAUUAGUGCUCUGUACAAGCUAGUUGUUUACUGAGUAGAAGGAAGGUUACUCUACUGCUUGAAUGUACCAAUGAAGAUGCUCUUCACAACUCUAAUCCUUGGUGCCAAUGGGUAUUCUUCCAUUUACUAUGAUUAAGUGCUCUUUGUGCUAAUUCUGGAUGUUAUAAAAAAUGAACUUUGGCUAAUGAACACGUAGUUGGAAUGAACAAGUACCCUUGUUUAUCUCCAUUGAUCGAUUGAUGUGAGAUCAUUUAGUUCAUUCGUCAUCACACACAUAUACUUGUACAUGUAAGAAAAGCAAUCAGAUAGAGAAUCUCUUUCUGUCUCUUCUUUGUUUGCUACAAAUAUAGACUGAAAGUGGAGUAGUUCUUCUAGAGUUUAAAGAUUUGAACUUGCAAAAGUGUUAGUUCUCUGAUAUGAAGUUUAUUAUUUAUGUUUUGUGAAGGUUGUUGUCUGAAUGUGAUAUACCCAUAUAUUAUAUAAAGAACAAGUUCAGAUCGGUAUAAAAAAUUAUGCUUAAACUUUCAUGCCAUCUAAUAGAUAAUAGUCUAUGUAUACUUUUCAACGUCAUAAGCAUUGUAGUAACUACAUUGCCACAGGAAAUUAGAUAUUGUGAUCUAUCUUUCAUACCUAUAUACAUAUUAUGCUUGGACGUGUGUUGUUUGUGCGAAAGGAAACAUUUAGUAUUUUGUAAUGCUUGAACUGAAGGUAGUCUCUACUUAAAUAUUUCUCCAUUUAAUCAAGUAAGAACAGUUCUUCAGAACAUUUUAUCCUUUUAAUCUUCAGACAUCUUGACAGGAAGCACCAGGGAAUGUUUGCAGUUUCAAUUUAUAUUGUACGUAAAGGACUGUAGAUAUGUUCUCUGCCAGUCAAAACUUCUAAAUGAUCUAUGCACUAUGGCAGUGCCGCAGUGGAUACUUCUAAAUGACUGCACACAUGUUUUAUUAAGUCUUAUCAGUAUAUGGAGUUCAAUAAUCUUUUGGUGCUAAACAAGUGGAUGCUAUAACUGAAUACUAAAUCAGUAAAACACUGUAGGAGUUUUACAAGCAAGCUUUGGGUAAAAAGAUUUUUGUAUUGUGCUGUUUAUUCCCAUUGGUCGAUCGAUGUGAGAUCAUCUAGUUCAACUGUCAUCACGCACAUAUACAGUUACAUGGAAGAAAAAUAACUAGCUAGAGAACUUAUUUAUGCCUCCUUUUGUUUUGCUGCAAAGACAGACUGAAAGUGGAGUACUCUUCUAGAGUUUAAUUGUUAUAACAUGCUGCUUUUAUAAGGUUGCAAUCUUCAAUCUAGUUUUAGUCAAUAAGUUAUUGUUUCUUAAGAAUACAUAAAGAAUGGAUUCUUAUAUGUUCCAUGUAUUAUGUUAGGGCAAGUAAUUAUCAGCUGAGCAAAUGCUACAACGUGCUAGGAGGAGAAGUUCGAAUGGAGGCAGAGAGUACACUUGGUAAGUCAUAUAUCGAACCUGAACUUAUUUACUCAUUUUUUUAUUUUUGUUCUAGUCCGAGUCCAAAAAGAUGGUUUGACAAAUGGGGGUGACAUUCUGUACACAGGUGCGCAUCUACAAUUCAUGCUUGUGAAGCAUUUUUUAAAAAUAAAAUUGAAUAUGGGAAAAUUUGGGUUCCAAGUUUUGCCAUGCUGUCAUGACUUUGUAUUAGUUUGCCCCCUUCAACAUGUAAAACUAUGAACCUGACCAUGUUUUAUUUGGAACAUUUAGAUGAUGUGUCGGAAUGAAAACAAAAGGCAAUGAUGAGAAGGAAAACAAACACCAAUCUACUUACAUCUGAUGUGUAAAUUCUAAUGUGCCAAAAAAUUCUCUUUUCAGGAAAUAGAAUGGAAAAAGGAAGAGGAGAUAAUGUUGAAGCACACGAGCAAGAGGCUAGCAGAAGUUAAAGCAAUACACUAUAAGCAUUUUGAAUGAUUAGGGCCUUGUGUUGUUGGGAACAUUACAACCAUGGGGAAAGCUAAUUUUAGGAUUUUUUUUUGAAACUAUGAUGAUUUUUAUAGCAAAUUCGAAAACUAUACACCCUAAUGGAGA